rnacentral:lncRNA from 1 species
UCACGUGAUCUCUUCAAUCUAUACAGCACAUAUGCCGAUUAACCGAAAUAUUCUGCCCCAAUCACAUAUUAUGGUCAAAGAAGGCAAGAGCAGAUGAGUCGUUUUCACCGGCAAACCGUCUUAUUAUUAUAGUUCGUUUCAAGAGUUGCAAAUCAUCCUCCGCCAGUUGUCACUUACCGCCUGUGUAGGGUUUCUGCAACCUACUCCGUCGGAUAUUGUUCAAAUCGAUUAUGUACAUGACUAUCAAAUCAUUCAGGAUGAAAUUUGAGGCUUAGAUAGAUUUGGGGCCAGAUUACUUUUGAAAUCCAUGCCACACGGUAACACAGCCGCCAUCCCUUAAUUCCGAGCGGUGACCAAUAAAAGCCGGGGAGUUGUCACCGAAUGCAGCAUGCUCCAUUAUUGACUGUUGGUGGCUUCAUUGAUGAUGCAGUGACCUCAAGGGGAGCACCCCUUACGUUUGAGUGUAAAAUGGGGAGUAAAGAAGGGAGUUAACAUGACAGUGUAUUAU